rnacentral:rRNA from 1 species
UACGUAGGGGGCGAGCGUUGUCCGGAUUUAUUGGGCGUAAAGAGCGUGUAGGCGGCCAGGUAGGUCUGCUGUGAAGACUCGAGGCUCAACCUCGAGACGUCGGCGGAAACCAUCUGGCUAGAGUCCGGAAGAGGAGAGUGGAAUUCCUGGUGUAGCGGUGAAAUGCGCAGAUAUCAGGAAGAACAUCGGUGGCGAAGGCGCUCUGCUGGACCAUAACUGACACUCAGGGACGAAAGCUAGGGGAGCGAAUGGG